GUCGCCUUGCCAGAGUGGUUAAUGGGCUGGCCUGCUAUCACCAAGAUAACGGUAAGCCAGUGUCUUCGGACGCGCAGGUUCGAAUCCUGUGGGCGACG
rnacentral:tRNA from 1 species